GGUGUUACUGUGACUGAGGAAACUUCAACACCUAAGAAAAAAGAAGAAAAAGAAGAACCACAAACAAAAAGUGUUGAGGUUGAAAAUGUUUUGGUAGAUGCUCACCAAAACAUAAAUCAGUUCAACCCUAAUGAUCAACAAUACUUUUCAGAAGAUUCUGAGAGAACUCCUUCUCCCCCAUGGUCUCUGUCUCAUGUGGUUAGUCCAAGGGAAGGGACUAGAGCUAAUGCUUGGUGGAGGAAGCCAACAUGAAAGGCAUAACUUGAGAGAAGACAAAAAAAUAAAAUUAGGGAAAAACCUAACUCUAUAAUGGAAAACUUUAAGUUAUGAAUAAGGUGGCCAUUGUCCCCUUCCUAUGUAUUAAGCUUUGCCCCUGCACUGAACAUGGUUUUAUGAGUUUUAUUAUCAAAUUCUAUUUAACUUAAUUAAGGGGAGAAUU